rnacentral:rRNA from 1 species
UCAGGUAACACUGAAUGGAGGACCGAACCGACUUACGUUGAAAAGUGAGCGGAUGAACUGAGGGUAGCGGAGAAAUUCCAAUCGAACCUGGAGAUAGCUGGUUCUCUCCGAAAUAGCUUUAGGGCUAGCCUCAAGUGAUGAUUAUUGGAGGUAGAGCACUGUUUGGACGAGGGGCCCCUCUCGGGUUACCGAAUUCAGACAAACUCCGAAUGCCAAUUAAUUUAACUUGGGAGUCAGAACAUGGGUGAUAAGGUCCGUGUUCGAAAGGGAAACAGCCCAGACCACCAGCUAAGGUCCCAAAAUAUAUGUUAAGUGGAAAAGGAUGUGGCGUUGCCCAGACAACUAGGAUGUUGGCUUAGAAGCAGCCAUCAUUUAAAGAGUGCGUAAUAGCUCACUAGUCGAGUGACACUGCGCCGAAAAUGUACCGGGGCUAAACAUAUUACCGAAGCUGUGGAUUGUCCUUUGGACAAUGGUAGGAGAGCGUUCUAAGGGCGUUGAAGCAUGAUCGUAAGGACAUGUGGAGCGCUUAGAAGUGAGAAUGCCGGUGUGAGUAGCGAAAGACGGGUGAGAAUCCCGUCCACCGAUUGACUAAGGUUUCCAGAGGAAGGCUCGUCCGCUCUGGGUUAGUCGGGUCCUAAGCUGAGGCCGACAGGCGUAGGCGAUGGAUAACAGGUUGAUAUUCCUGUACCACCU